rnacentral:lncRNA from 1 species
AUACCCUGAGAUAGAGAUGGGGUUGGAUCUAAUAAUUGUUAGGUGAGGGAUCCAAUAAUGGCUUUGCAUCCGUUGGUGAAUGGUGGGUCUGACUUAACUAAAAAAAUAUGUCAAUAACUGUUAGAUGAGGCUAUAAAACUUAGAGACCGAACCUGCUGCAUCUUGCUUAGUGAAGCAAUGGAUAAGGUGUUGUCCACUCAUUAGUCUAUGCUCACCAAUAACUAUUAGGUGAGGUGUGUAUAGAUUAGUGGGACCACAAUACCCAUUAGAAAUCAAUUGCAUAUAGCUUUUCAUUUCUCUACCCAAGG